UGGGGAAUAUUGCACAAUGGGCGCAAGCCUGAUGCCGCCAUGCCGCGUGUAUGAAGAAGGCCUUCGGGUUGUAAAGUACUUUCAGUCGGGAGGAAGGUGUCAAGGUUAAUAACCUUGGCAAUUGACGUUACCGACAGAAGAAGCACCGGCUAACUCCGUGCCAGCAGCCGCGGUAAUACGGAGGGUGCAAGCGUUAAUCGGAAUUACUGGGCGUAAAGCGCACGCAGGCGGUUGAUUGAGUCAGAUGUGAAAUCCCCGGGCUCAACCUGGGAAAUGCAUCUGAUACUGGCAAGCUUGAGUCUCGUAGAGGGGGGUAGAAUUCCAGGUGUAGCGGUGAAAUGCGUAGAGAUCUGGAGGAAUACCGGUGGCGAAGGCGGCCCCCUGGACGAAGACUGACGCUCAGGUGCGAAAGCGUGGGGAGCAAACAGG
rnacentral:rRNA from 1 species